rnacentral:rRNA from 1 species
UACGGGGGGAGCAAGCGUUGUUCGGAUUUACUGGGCGUAAAGCGCGUGUAGGCGGCCCUGCAAGUCGGAUGUGAAAUCCCACGGCUCAACCGUGGAAGUGCAUUCGAAACUGCAGGGCUAGAGUCCUGGAGAGGAAGGUGGAAUGCUUGGUGUAGAGGUGAAAUUCGUAGAUAUCAAGCGGAACACCGGUGGCGAAGGCGGCCUUCUGGACAGUGACUGACGCUGAGACGCGAAAGCGUGGGGAGCAAACAGG